rnacentral:rRNA from 1 species
AGAAGGCUAUGUUGGCCGGGCGACGGUUGUCCCGGUUUAAGCGUGUAGGCUGGUUUUCCAGGCAAAUCCGGAAAAUCAAGGCUGAGGCGUGAUGACGAGGCACUACGGUGCUGAAGCAACAAAUGCCCUGCUUCCAGGAAAAGCCUCUAAGCAUCAGGUAACAUCAAAUCGUACCCCAAACCGACACAGGUGGUCAGGUAGAGAAUACCAAGGCGCUUGAGAGAACUCGGGUGAAGGAACUAGGCAAAAUGGUGCCGUAACUUCGGGAGAAGGCACGCUGAUAUGUAGGUGAAGUCCCUCGCGGAUGGAGCUGAAAUCAGUCGAAGAUACCAGCUGGCUGCAACUGUUUAUUAAAAACACAGCACUGUGCAAACACGAAAGUGGACGUAUACGGUGUGACGCCUGCCCGGUGCCGGAAGGUUAAUUGAUGGGGUCAGCGCAAGCGAAGCUCUUGAUCGAAGCCCCGGUAAACGGCGGCCGUAACUAUAACGGUCCUAAGGUAGCGAAAUUCCUUGUCGGGUAAGUUCCGACCUGCACGAAUGGCGUAAUGAUGGCCAGGCUGUCUCCACCCGAGACUCAGUGAAAUUGAACUCGCUGUGAAGAUGCAGUGUACCCGCGGCAAGACGGAAAGACCCCGUGAACCUUUACUAUAGCUUGACACUGAACAUUGAGCCUUGAUGUGUAGGAUAGGUGGGAGGCUUUGAAGUGUGGACGCCAGUCUGCAUGGAGCCGACCUUGAAAUACCACCCUUUAAUGUUUGAUGUUCUAACGUGGACCCGUGAUCCGGGUUGCGGACAGUGUCUGGUGGGUAGUUUGACUGGGGCGGUCUCCUCCUAAAGAGUAACGGAGGAGCACGAAGGUUGGCUAAUCCUGGUCGGACAUCAGGAGGUUAGUGCAAUGGCAUAAGCCAGCUUGACUGCGAGCGUGACGGCGCGAGCAGGUGCGAAAGCAGGUCAUAGUGAUCCGGUGGUUCUGAAUGGAAGGGCCAUCGCUCAACGGAUAAAAGGUACUCCGGGGAUAACAGGCUGAUACCGCCCAAGAGUUCAUAUCGACGGCGGUGUUUGGCACCUCGAUGUCGGCUCAUCACAUCCUGGGGCUGAAGUAGGUCCCAAGGGUAUGGCUGUUCGCCAUUUAAAGUGGUACGCGAGCUGGGUUUAGAACGUCGUGAGACAGUUCGGUCCCUAUCUGCCGUGGGCGCUGGAGAACUGAGGGGGGCUGCUCCUAGUACGAGAGGACCGGAGUGGACGCAUCACUGGUGUUCGGGUUGUCAUGCCAAUGGCACUGCCCGGUAGCUAAAUGCGGAAGAGAUAAGUGCUGAAAGCAUCUAAGCACGAAACUUGCCCCGAGAUGAGUUCUCCCUGACCCUUUAAGGGUCCUGAAGGAACGUUGAAGACGACGACGUUGAUAGGCCGGGUGUGUAAGCGCAGCGAUGCGUUGAGCUAACCGGUACUAAUGAACCGUGAGGCUUAACCUUACAACGCCGAAGGUGUUU